GAAAAUUAAUCUAGACUUUUUUAGUCUUGGAAUAAUGAGUUUUCCGCGUUACCAUAUGGUAAUUGGUCACUCGAAAUUAAUGUCAUGUCUUGGCUUGUAACAGACGCGUUUAUUUUAAAUUUUAAAUGUUCGCAACUAAUCAAGCCUUGUGUAAUGACAUGUUCAAUUUCCUCCUUUUAAAAGAGGAAGAAAUCGAACAACCAACUAUAA
rnacentral:misc_RNA from 1 species